GAUCAUGGCUCAGAACGAACGCUGGCGGCAGGCCUAAAACAUGCAAGUCGAACGCCCUAGCAAUAGGGAGUGGCGCACGGGUGAGUAACAUGUGGGAAUAUGCCUUUUGGUACGGAACAACUUUUGGAAACGAAAGCUAAUACCGUAUGGUCCCUUCGGGGUAAAGAUUUAUCGCCAAAAGAGUAGCCCGCACUGGAUUAGCUAGUUGGUAAGGUAAUGGCUUACCAAGGCGACGAUCAGUAGCUGGUCUGAGAGGACGACCAGCCACACUGGAACUGAGACACGGCCCAGACUCCUACGGGAGGCAGCAGUGGGGAAUAUUGGACAAUGGGCGAAAGCCUGAUCCAGCAAUGCCGCGUGAGUGAUGAAGGCCUUAGGGUUGUAAAGCUCUUUACCCGGGAUGAUAAUGACAGUACCGGGAGAAUAAGCUCCGGCUAACUCCGUG
rnacentral:rRNA from 1 species